rnacentral:lncRNA from 10 species
CAAAACUGCUGGCGAGUGUACCCUUUCUGCAGGAGGUAAAAAUUGCCUUACUAAAUUAAAUUUAUGUUCAAGUGCUAUUUCUUUAUGGCACUGGGGAACAAGCAUUUCAAACACAAUGAAUGAGAAAAAAAUAAACUGCCCACUGCCAUCUUCAGGACUUACUCCUUCCAGUUAAAAAUGUUGGUCCAAAGAAAAGAGGAAAAAAAAAAAAAAGAAUAGAUUGUAUUUAUGCUGUGUUGUCGGUCAGACAACACACAUGUGCUAUGUAAUCUACGGUUUCCUAGGACUUGUGUGUUGAGGAAAAGAUGGUGGCAGAAUGAGAAUUACAGACCAAGGAAAAGCAAAAGUGUGAAGGCCUUGAGCGAGGAGGAGCAUGAAACUUCAGAAAUGAAAGCAAGUAAAGAGGGUUGGAGUGGAGAGAGAAAGGAGAGAAUGACAGCACACAAGGCUAAUUCUCUGCCUGGAAGACAGGCUAAGGAUUCUGGAUUGUUUCCCAAGAACAAGUGAACAGUUUUAAGAAACAAUAUGAUCCAUUUUUCCCCCUAUUUCAAAUAAAUCCGUUUGCAAUGUGCAGGAUGGUUUGGAGAAGACAGGCAAGACUUGAUGUCAGAAGACUAUUCAGGGGCUAAAGCUCUACUACCAUUUAUAAAUGAAGGGAGUUAUUCUCAUUUAAGUCUCUGAAAUUGAGAUGUACCUACUUAAAAAUUAAUAUUGUUAUCCCUUUUAUUUUUCUGUGGUCGUGAAACAAAUUUGCAAAGAUUAUGACAGUGAGAAGUAUAGUGUGGCUGAUUCUUUUUUACUUCUAUCCUCACAGGUUGUCUAUCCUUGCUCAUUCCUGAGUAUAGGCCAAGCUAACCAUAGGAGGAAUUUAUAGAGUAACUUUGAAGCAAGGAUGACAACAGUCUCUUCCUAAAACUAACCCCCUCCUUGAGGGACUGACAUCACCUUUGUAAAACUAAUUAAAACCACAUAAUUAGGAUUAUGGAGAGGGCUAAAUUCUGCUAAGAUGUAGGCAUAGUUUCUAUAAUCCCUUACUAGCCAUGAGUCAUGUGGCCUGAGGUCACAAGAUUUGUGACUUCACCAAUUGCUCCUAUAUAAAAAAUCACUAUUGUAGAACCUAAUAUUGACAUUUUAAUUUGUUUUUCAUACUUUUGCUUUCUGGUAAUUGACCCCACCUAGACCCAUGACUCAUGACUCAACUGGUCCUGUGGCCACCCCACCCAGAGGUGGACUAAGCACAAGAGGACCUUUUCUCACACCUCUGUGAGUUCAUACUAAACCAAUGAGCAGUACCCAUUCUCUAGGUCUCUGCUCACUAAAUUAUUAAAACUUUAGCCUCUGAGUUCUCGGGGAGGUAGAUUUGAACAAUAACCAAGUCUUAUGCUUACACUUGGUCAGCCUUGCAUUAAUUAAACUCUUUCUCUACUGCAAUAGUAUGGUCUCAGUGAAUUGGUUUUAUCUGUGCACCAGGCAGGAAAAAUCUGUUGGGCAAUUACAGAUCCCUAAUGAGUUUACCCUGAAUUUUCUGUUUAUUUUUCUGUGCUUCCAGAUAAGUCAUGAUUUCCUUAAAAAGCAUAUCGUUGAUGAGUGUAUACUUUUAUGUAAAUAAUAUUGUGUUAUCUCAUCUUGUGUUGUUGUACCUAACUGCUGUUUUCCUCUAUAUGAAUCAACCUUAUUUAUUCUGCUAAUUAUGGACUACCAACCCACUGAGCCCAAUCAUAAAAAGUACCUCAGUAACCAUAAUCAUUCAUACCCUUGAAAGGAGCUGUGUGAGAUUUUCUUUGCAGUAUAUAUCCAGAAUCAAAUUUCAGUUGCAUAGUCUGUUUGUGUAUCUCCUGACUGCCUACCAUGGCCUACUUUCCAUGAGAAAUGGAUGAGGGUUUUUAUAUUCUCACAGCUCACCGACACUUCAUAUUAUUUAGUUUUCUAAAUUUUAUAAUAUAUUUAAAUGAUAACUUUAAAUAGAAGUUGUAUAUUUUUCAAACAUACCUAAAAAUACAAAGACUAAAACUGGCCUCCUGCAGUAAAUAGUUACUUAUGCUUGCUUUAUUUAAAUUUUUAAAAUUAUUAUACUAAAAUGUUUAAUUCAAAUCUCGGAGUACUAGUUUUUCAUUGCUGGUGUGAAAUAUUACCACAAAUUUAGAGGCUUAAACUAGCAAAGAUUUAUUACCUUAUAAUUCUGGAGGUCAGAAGUCCAAAAUGAGUCUCCCACAGAUAAAAUCAGGGUGUUGACAGGGCUAUAUAAUAUCACCCUGACACUGCAUGUUUACCUCUUUUACAUUUAAAGGACCUUGUGAUUACAUUGGGCCCACCCAAAUAACCCAGAAUAAUCUUUUUAUUUUAAAGUGACCUUAUUAGCAACCUUAAUUUCACAUGUAGCCUUAAUUAUCCUUUUUCAUUGUAGCGCAACAUAUUCACAGUUGAGAAAGGGACUUUUAGGAUACAGACAACUUUGGAGGGCCAUUAUUCUGCCUGCCACAGAGAUAUCAUCCAUAAGUGACUCGUCUCUAAAAAUUAAAGGCAAACCUCCGUACUUUCACACUGAAUCCUAUCCACUUGAAGAAUACACCUUCUGCAAUCAACCCAUUUCAUAUCCAUAUCAUCAAGAUUUCCAUCUCAGCUGGAUUAUCAUCCUUAUGCCAACAUGUUGUAAUAUCUCCUAUCCUAAACACUCAGUCUUGUGUUUUAUGUGACGAUAGAAGAUGUAGCCAGGAUUUAAAAGGAACCCUAAAUUCUGAAGUUUCUAUUUUUUAAAUUAUUUGUCUAUAGAUUCCAGAAAAUGACCAAUGAGAGCUCUUUCAUCAAAGAAAAUAUCGAAUAAGAAUAAUUGUUUAAUUUUAUAUUUCAAGAAUUUCAGUUUGUAUUCAAAUGGAUGUGCUGGGUUUUUAAAAUUUGUAUGCUAAUCACCUUCAGCUUGGUAGGGGAAAGAAGAGUAAUCUUUGUACAAUAUUUUAUAUUCUUCUUCCUAUCAAAGGCCUACUCUCCAGAGGAAUAAUUUUACCAGAGCCGUGUCACUGAGCCAGGGAAGAAAGGCAUUCCUCCCAUUCAGCCCCACCCAGACUUCCUGUCUCACCUAGGAGAUGGGAGAGUGGAAAAGCUGUAUAAAAAGAAAUACUGAUGAGAGUAAAGGCCAGAGACACAGGCCAACACAGAAACAGAUUUCACUGGAAAAGUUUAGAAAGUUCUCACUCCCCUUUAUCUUAUACCACAUUAACAGGGGUCCAUUGUGAUAAUAGUUGAUUAUAGCUGAAAGAACUACAAUAAACCUACUUUUAUUUUUUAAGGGAGGAGAAUUUAUAGGAGCUCAAAGUUAAGAGGAAAGACCAAAACAAAUACACAAGAGGAAUCUGAAUUCGGUUAACUAUAGCAACAGAAAGCAUUAAUCAAAGCAAAUUUAGAUCAACUUAAAUCCUCAUAAGAGAAAUCUAUUUUAGUUCCUAUGGCCUGAAAACACAUAUUAGUUAUUUAAAAAAAUACAAGAAGGCAAGAAAAAAAAGAAUCCACCAUUUGAAGAGACAAAGAAAACAUCAGAACCAGAUUAGACAUAACACAGAUGUUAAAAUAAUCAGACAGGGAAUUGACAAUGACUGAUUAAUAUUUUAAGGGCUGUAAUGGAAAAAAGCAGAUAACACAAGGACAAUGGAUAAUAAAAUUAAAAAUAAAAUAUCCAGGAAAGAGUCAAAGGAAAUGCUAGAAAUCAAAGAAUAAUGUAAGAGAAAGGAAGACUGCCUUAAAUAGACUUAUCAGUAGACACAAGUCCAAAGCAUCAUUGAGUCUGAAAAUAGUUCAACAGAAAUUCUCCAGAUUAAAAUGCAAUGGUAAAAAGGUUAAAUAGAAAAACCCAGAACAUCCAAAAACAGUGGGACAAUUUCAAAAGUAACACAUGCUGUCCAGGCACAGUUGCUCACACCUGUAAUCCUAGCACUUUGGGAGGCCGAGGCAGGUGGAUCACUUGAAGCCAGGAGUUUGAGACCAGCCUGGCCAAAAUGGCUAAACCCCAUCUCUACUAAAAAUACAAAGAUUAGUUGGGCAUGGCGGCAGGCACCUGUAAUCCCAGCUACUCAGGAGGCCGAGGCAAGAGAAUCGCUUGAACCCAGGAGGCAGAGGUCACAGUGAGCCAAGAUUAUGCCACUGCACUCCAGCC